GAAAUGCGAUAAGUAAUGUGAAUUGCAGAAUUCAGUGAAUCAUCGAAUCUUUGAACGCACAUUGCGCCCGCCAGUAUUCUGGCGGGCAUGCCUGUCCGAGCGUCAUUUCAACCAUCAAGCCCCCGGGCUUGUGUUGGGGACCUGCGGCUGCCCGCAGGCCCUGAAAACCAGUGGCGGGCUCGCUGUCACACCGAGUGUAGUAGCAAUCACCUCGCUCAGGGCGUGCUGCGGGUUCCGGCCGUUAAACAGCCUUACAAAACCCAAGGUUGACCUCGGAUCAGGUAGGAAGACCCGCUGAAGUGACGC
rnacentral:misc_RNA from 1 species